AGAGUCACCAAGGAAGAAACGCUGGGAGGGAAUUUCCCCAGCAGAGUGGAAAUCCUCCCCAGCUCUCCAAGACCGGCUGCUGGAUACGGAACUCUGGGGCCCCAAUAUAAGGAUGUGGAAAGAGCCAGUUUAUCUCUGCCUCUUACAUCCAAUACAGCUGAAUCUCUGAUGUGCACUUAUCUGACCCAAGAUAACUGUAAGCAGGACGUGAACUCUGCUUCUGUCUCUGAUGACCUCUGUUGUCACCCCCGACCACGGGGAUAUCUACAGAGGAAAUUCUCACUCUUUCCUGGUUGAGCUGUUCUGCUUUGUAUGGAAUCGACUGGGCCUGAGAUGACACCGAAGUGCCUGUCUUCAUACUAAUCUGGGUUACAUAGCUUUAAUUACUAAUACUUAUGUCACUCUUGUAUUAAGUACUUACAAGUGACUGCAUAUGCAUGUAUUUUAAUGGUCUUAAUGCACCUCUCUGGUUGUCUGGGAUAUGUUUUGCUUAUGUUAAAUCAGGUGAGAAAUUACAACACACUCUGGCACUGAAGCAGUAUUUCUAAGGCCACUGAAAACAGGACCUGUGUGUUUGAAGACAAGUAAUUUGGAAUAGCGUAUUUAAACAAAACACAGGGAACUGGAGAGAGCAAACAAAUUCUUUAGGAAAAGUCCUAUAGAAUUCUAUCAGGUCACGUGGGGUAUUAGAGAAGUAUCUGCGAGCGCCCAUUGUUUCAUGCAAAUUUACACUGUGAGGUUGUGAUACUUAUGCUCAAAUAAAUAACAACUUAUUUUC